UACGUAGGGAGCAAGCGUUGUUCGGAUUUACUGGGCGUAAAGGGCGCGUAGGCGGCAAAUUAAGUCAGCUGUGAAAUCUCCGAGCUUAACUCGGAACGGUCAGCUGAUACUGAUCUGCCAGAGUGCGGAAGGGGCAAUCGGAAUUCUUGGUGUAGCGGUGAAAUGCGUAGAUAUCAAGAGGAACACCUGAGGUGAAGACGGGUUGCUGGGCCGACACUGACGCUGAGUGCGCGAAAGCCAGGGGAGCAAACGGG
rnacentral:rRNA from 1 species